CCUACGGGCGGCAGCAGUGAGGAAUAUUGGUCAAUGGGCGCGAGCCUGAACCAGCCAAGUAGCGUGAAGGAUGACUGCCCUACGGGUUGUAAACUUCUUUUAUAAAGGAAUAAAGUGAGGCACGUGUGCCGUUUUGUAUGUACUUUAUGAAUAAGGAUCGGCUAACUCCGUGCCAGCAGCCGCGGUAAUACGGAGGAUCCGAGCGUUAUCCGGAUUUAUUGGGUUUAAAGGGAGCGUAGAUGGGUUGUUAAGUCCGUUGUGAAAGUUUGCGGCUCAACCGUAAAAUUGCAAUUGAUACGGGCAGUCUUGCGUACCGUUGAGGUAGGCGGAAUUCUUGGUGUAGCGG
rnacentral:rRNA from 1 species